GCUAAGUUUAAACAAAAAUGAUGUCUAUAUAUGAUGCAUCAUCAGUAAUACAUCCAAUCCCAGAAUAUAAGACAUCAAAACAUGGAAUUAUCUAUACUAAUAUCAUAUGUAAAGACAAAAAGUAAAGAGAUGAUCAAGUAAUGGUAAGGUCCUAUGGAGCUGAUGUGUCUGUGGUGGCCUCUUGAGUGGGUUGGAUCAGCACUUUGGCCUCUGUUUUAGUAGUCUCCUUAGAUGGCAUAGUCUUCUCAGCUGGAGCUCUCAGCUGGAGCUAUGGGCUCUGAUGGUUUUAGGAGGUCAGAAAUGGAGUGAGAGGCUUGGUGUGUGUGAUCCCAGGGUGCGCGGGGCUCUCCUCUUCAGAUGCAUGGUCGCG
rnacentral:lncRNA from 1 species